rnacentral:rRNA from 1 species
AACGCGAAGAACCUUACCUGGGCUCGAAAUGCAGAGGAAGAUGCCAGAAAUGGCUUCGUCCGCAAGGACUUCUGUAUAGGUGCUGCAUGGCUGUCGUCAGCUCGUGCCGUGAGGUGUUUGGUUAAGUCCAGCAACGAGCGCAACCCUUAUCAUUAGUUGCCAACACGUAAGGUGGGGACUCUAAUGAGACUGCCUAGGUUAACUAGGAGGAAGGCGAGGAUGACGUCAAGUCCGCAUGGCCUUUAUGUCCAGGGCUACACACGUGCUACAAUGGUCGGUACAGAGGGCUGCAAGACCGCAAGGUGGAGCAAAUCCCAGAAAGCCGAUCUCAGUUCAGAUUGUGGACUGCAACUCGUCCACAUGAAGUCGGAAUUGCUAGUAAUGGCGUGUCAGCAAUAACGCCGUGAAUACGUUCCCGGGCCUUGUA